AUUGAACGCUGGCGGCAGGCCUAACACAUGCAAGUCGAGCGGAUGAAGGGAGCUUGCUCCUGGAUUCAGCGGCGGACGGGUGAGUAAUGCCUAGGAAUCUGCCUGGUAGUGGGGGAUAACGUCCGGAAACGGGCGCUAAUACCGCAUACGUCCUGAGGGAGAAAGUGGGGGAUCUUCGGACCUCACGCUAUCAGAUGAGCCUAGGUCGGAUUAGCUAGUUGGUGGGGUAAAGGCCUACCAAGGCGACGAUCCGUAACUGGUCUGAGAGGAUGAUCAGUCACACUGGAACUGAGACACGGUCCAGACUCCUACGGGAGGCAGCAGUAGGGAAUAUUGGACAAUGGGCGAAAGCCUGAUCCAGCCAUGCCGCGUGUGUGAAGAAGGUCUUCGGAUUGUAAAGCUCUUUAAGUUGGGAGGAAGAGCAGUAAGUUAAAACCUGGCUGUUUUGACGUUACCAACAGAGUAAGCACCGGCUAACUACGUG
rnacentral:rRNA from 1 species